rnacentral:rRNA from 1 species
AGCACCGUAGUCGGCGUAAUAAGUUUCGUCGGUGAAGGUUGUGAUGACUGCUUACAAUCGCCCUCGGGCAAUUUUUGACUCUGACCUCAAAUCAGGUAGGACUACCCGCUGAACUUAAGCAUAUCAAUAAGCGGAGGAAAAGAAACUAACAAGGAUUCCCCUAGUAGCGGCGAGCGAAGCGGGAAGAGCUCAAAUUUGAAAGCUGGCGUCCUUCGGGCGUCCGCAUUGUAAUCUAUAGAGGCGUUUUCUGUGCUGGACCGUGUCCAAGUCCCUUGGAACAGGGUAUCAAAGAGGGUGACAAUCCCGUACUUGACACGACAACCAGUGCUCUGUGAUACGUCUUCUACGAGUCGAGUUGUUUGGGAAUGCAGCUCAAAAUGGGUGGUGAAUUCCAUCUAAAGCUAAAUAUUGGCGAGAGACCGAUAGCGAACAAGUACCGUGAGGGAAAGAUGAAAAGCACUUUGGAAAGAGAGUUAAACAGUAUGUGAAAUUGUUGAAAGGGAAACGAUGGAGGUCAGUCGUGUCUGUGGGAUUCAGCCGUCUCUGGCGGUGUACUUCCCACAGACGGGUCAACAUCAGUUUUGGUCGGCGGAUAAAGGCAGGAGGAAGGUGGCACCCCCGGGUGUGUUAUAGCCUCUUGUUGCAUACGCUGGCCGAGACUGAGGAAUGCAGCUCGCCUUUAUGGCCGGGGUUCGCCCACGU